rnacentral:rRNA from 1 species
GGCCAGACUCCUACGGGAGGCGGCAGUGAGGAAUAUUGGUCAAUGGGCGGAAGCCUGAACCAGCCAAGUCGCGUGAGGGAAUAAGGCCCUACGGGUCGUAAACCUCUUUUGCCGUGGAGCAAGGGCGGGGACGUGUCCCGGCCCGGAGAGUACCCGGAGAAAAAGCAUCGGCUAACUCCGUGCCAGCAGCCGCGGUAAUACGUAGGUGGCAAGCGUUGUCCGGAAUUACUGGGUGUAAAGGGAGCGCAGGCGGGAAGCCAAGUCAGCUGUGAAGACUACGGGCUUAACUUGUAGACUGUAGUUGAAACUGGUUUUCUUGAGUGAAGUAGAGGUUGGCGGAAUUCCGAGUGUAGCGGUGAAAUGCGUAGAUAUUCGGAGGAACACCGGUGGCGAAGGCGGCCAACUGGGCUUUAACUGACGCUGAGGCUCGAAAGUGUGGGGAGCAAACAGGAUUAGAUACCCUUGUAA